rnacentral:rRNA from 1 species
CCAGAGAACUUAGCAGAGAUGCUUUAGUGCCUUCGGGGAACGCUGAGACAGGUGCUGCAUGGCUGUCGUCAGCUCGUGUUGUGAAAUGUUGGGUUAAGUCCCGCAACGAGCGCAACCCUUAUCCUUUGUUGCCAGCGAUUCGGUCGGGAACUCAAAGGAGACUGCCGGUGAUAAACCGGAGGAAGGUGGGGAUGACGUCAAGUCAUCAUGGCCCUUACGAGUAGGGCUACACACGUGCUACAAUGGCGCAUACAAAGAGAAGCGACCUCGCGAGAGCAAGCGGACCUCACAAAGUGCGUCGUAGUCCGGAUCGGAGUCUGCAACUCGACUCCGUGAAGUCGGAAUCGCUAGUAAUCGUGA